rnacentral:rRNA from 1 species
ACAGCAGCAGCCGCGGUAAUACGUAGGUCCCGAGCGUUGUCCGGAUUUAUUGGGCGUAAAGCGAGCGCAGGCGGUUAGAUAAGUCUGAAGUUAAAGGCUGUGGCUUAACCAUAGUACGCUUUGGAAACUGUUUAACUUGAGUGCAAGAGGGGAGAGUGGAAUUCCAUGUGUAGCGGUGAAAUGCGUAGAUAUAUGGAGGAACACCGGUGGCGAAAGCGGCUCUCUGGCUUGUAACUGACGCUGAGGCUCGAAAGCGUGGGGAGCAAACAGGAUUAGAUACCCCCGUAGUCCCUGUCUCUUAUACC